ACACAAUCCGCAGCCCCUGCGUCUGUGCAGUGACCAGCCAGUCCCUGAGAACUUUCCCCUCCAGCACCAGGGAAAAUGGGAUUUUUGCCCCUUGUAAUUUUCGUUGUAGCCGCUUUGGAAGGUGUCCGGUCCCAGGUGCAGCUGGUGGAGUCCGGAGGGGAUAUGAAAAAGCCCGGAGACUCUCUCCGCCUCUCCUGCAAAGCCUCCGGGUUCACCUUCAGCAGCGCCUACAUGAGCUGGGUCCGACAGGCUCCUGGCAAGGGGCUAGAAUGGGUCGCUUUUAUAAACACGGGUGGGAGUAGUACAUAUUACCCUGAUUCAGUGAAAGGCCGAUUCACCAUCUCCAGGGACAACCCCAACAACCUGCUGUAUCUGCAAAUGACCGGCCUGAAGCCCGAGGACACCGCCCGCUAUUACUGUGCGAGAGACACAGUGACACGAAACCGG